UACGGAGGAUGCGAGCGUUAUCCGGAUUUAUUGGGUUUAAAGGGUGCGCAGGCGGUCUGUUAAGUCAGCGGUCAAAGCCCGGGGCUCAACCCCGGCCCGCCGUUGAAACUGGCAGUCUCGAGUUGGAGAGAAGUAUGCGGAAUGCGCGGUGUAGCGGUGAAAUGCAUAGAUAUCACACAGAACACCGAUUGCGAAGGCAUCUCACGAAUCCGCGAUUGACGCUGAUGCACGAAAGCGUGGGUAUCAAACAGG
rnacentral:rRNA from 1 species